rnacentral:tRNA from 1 species
GGCGCGUUCGUCUAGUGGUCCAGGACGCCUCUCUUUCAAGGAGGAGAUCAUGGGUUCGACUCCCAUAC